UUUGAUUAGCAAUUAAGUUAAAGGGUUAGUUCACCCAAAAAUGAAAAUUCUGUCAUUAAUUACUCCACCCUCCUGUCAUUCCAAAC